rnacentral:rRNA from 1 species
UUAAGCGACUAAGCGUACACGGUGGAUGCCCUGGCAGUCAGAGGCGAUGAAGGACGUGCUAAUCUGCGAUAAGCGUCGGUAAGGUGAUAUGAACCGUUAUAACCGGCGAUUUCCGAAUGGGGAAACCCAGUGUGUUUCGACACACUAUCAUUAACUGAAUCCAUAGGUUAAUGAGGCGAACCGGGGGAACUGAAACAUCUAAGUACCCCGAGGAAAAGAAAUCAACCGAGAUUCCCCCAGUAGCGGCGAGCGAACGGGGAGCAGCCCAGAGCCUGAAUCAGUGUGUGUGUUAGUGGAAGCGUCUGGAAAGGCGCGCGAUACAGGGUGACAGCCCCGUACACAAAAAUGCACAUAUUGUGAGCUCGAUGAGUAGGGCGGGACACGUGGUAUCCUGUCUGAAUAUGGGGGGACCAUCCUCCAAGGCUAAAUACUCCUGACUGACCGAUAGUGAACCAGUACCGUGAGGGAAAGGCGAAAAGAACCCCGGCGAGGGGAGUGAAAAAGAACCUGAAACCGUGUACGUACAAGCAGUGGGAGCCUCUUUUAUGGGGUGACUGCGUACCUUUUGUAUAAUGGGUCAGCGACUUAUAUUCUGUAGCAAGGUUAACCGAAUAGGGGAGCCGAAGGGAAACCGAGUCUUAACUGGGCGUUAAGUUGCAGGGUAUAGACCCGAAACCCGGUGAUCUAGCCAUGGGCAGGUUGAAGGUUGGGUAACACUAACUGGAGGACCGAACCGACUAAUGUUGAAAAAUUAGCGGAUGACUUGUGGCUGGGGGUGAAAGGCCAAUCAAACCGGGAGAUAGCUGGUUCUCCCCGAAAGCUAUUUAGGUAGCGCCUCGUGAACUCAUCUCCGGGGGUAGAGCACUGUUUCGGCAAGGGGGUCAUCCCGACUUACCAACCCGAUGCAAACUGCGAAUACCGGAGAAUGUUAUCACGGGAGACACACGGCGGGUGCUAACGUCCGUCGUGAAGAGGGAAACAACCCAGACCGCCAGCUAAGGUCCCAAAGUCAUGGUUAAGUGGGAAACGAUGUGGGAAGGCCCAGACAGCCAGGAUGUUGGCUUAGAAGCAGCCAUCAUUUAAAGAAAGCGUAAUAGCUCACUGGUCGAGUCGGCCUGCGCGGAAGAUGUAACGGGGCUAAACCAUGCACCGAAGCUGCGGCAGCGACGCUGAUGCGUUGUUGGGUAGGGGAGCGUUCUGUAAGCCUGUGAAGGUGUGCUGUGAGGCAUGCUGGAGGUAUCAGAAGUGCGAAUGCUGACAUAAGUAACGAUAAAGCGGGUGAAAAGCCCGCUCGCCGGAAGACCAAGGGUUCCUGUCCAACGUUAAUCGGGGCAGGGUGAGUCGACCCCUAAGGCGAGGCCGAAAGGCGUAGUCGAUGGGAAACAGGUUAAUAUUCCUGUACUUGGUGUUACUGCGAAGGGGGGACGGAGAAGGCUAUGUUGGCCGGGCGACGGUUGUCCCGGUUUAAGCGUGUAGGCUGGUUUUCCAGGCAAAUCCGGAAAAUCAAGGCUGAGGCGUGAUGACGAGGCACUACGGUGCUGAAGCAACAAAUGCCCUGCUUCCAGGAAAAGCCUCUAAGCAUCAGGUAACAUCAAAUCGUACCCCAAACCGACACAGGUGGUCAGGUAGAGAAUACCAAGGCGCUUGAGAGAACUCGGGUGAAGGAACUAGGCAAAAUGGUGCCGUAACUUCGGGAGAAGGCACGCUGAUAUGUAGGUGAAGCGACUUGCUCGUGGAGCUGAAAUCAGUCGAAGAUACCAGCUGGCUGCAACUGUUUAUUAAAAACACAGCACUGUGCAAACACGAAAGUGGACGUAUACGGUGUGACGCCUGCCCGGUGCCGGAAGGUUAAUUGAUGGGGUCAGCGCAAGCGAAGCUCUUGAUCGAAGCCCCGGUAAACGGCGGCCGUAACUAUAACGGUCCUAAGGUAGCGAAAUUCCUUGUCGGGUAAGUUCCGACCUGCACGAAUGGCGUAAUGAUGGCCAGGCUGUCUCCACCCGAGACUCAGUGAAAUUGAACUCGCUGUGAAGAUGCAGUGUACCCGCGGCAAGACGGAAAGACCCCGUGAACCUUUACUAUAGCUUGACACUGAACAUUGAGCCUUGAUGUGUAGGAUAGGUGGGAGGCUUAGAAGUGUGGACGCCAGUCUGCAUGGAGCCGACCUUGAAAUACCACCCUUUAAUGUUUGAUGUUCUAACGUUGACCCGUAAUCCGGGUUGCGGACAGUGUCUGGUGGGUAGUUUGACUGGGGCGGUCUCCUCCUAAAGAGUAACGGAGGAGCACGAAGGUUGGCUAAUCCUGGUCGGACAUCAGGAGGUUAGUGCAAUGGCAUAAGCCAGCUUGACUGCGAGCGUGACGGCGCGAGCAGGUGCGAAAGCAGGUCAUAGUGAUCCGGUGGUUCUGAAUGGAAGGGCCAUCGCUCAACGGAUAAAAGGUACUCCGGGGAUAACAGGCUGAUACCGCCCAAGAGUUCAUAUCGACGGCGGUGUUUGGCACCUCGAUGUCGGCUCAUCACAUCCUGGGGCUGAAGUAGGUCCCAAGGGUAUGGCUGUUCGCCAUUUAAAGUGGUACGCGAGCUGGGUUUAGAACGUCGUGAGACAGUUCGGUCCCUAUCUGCCGUGGGCGCUGGAGAACUGAGGGGGGCUGCUCCUAGUACGAGAGGACCGGAGUGGACGCAUCACUGGUGUUCGGGUUGUCAUGCCAAUGGCACUGCCCGGUAGCUAAAUGCGGAAGAGAUAAGUGCUGAAAGCAUCUAAGCACGAAACUUGCCCCGAGAUGAGUUCUCCCUGACCCUUUAAGGGUCCUGAAGGAACGUUGAAGACGACGACGUUGAUAGGCCGGGUGUGUAAGCGCAGCGAUGCGUUGAGCUAACCGGUACUAAUGAACCGUGAGGCUUAACCU